rnacentral:rRNA from 1 species
UGAGGAAUAUUGGUCAAUGGGCGGGAGCCUGAACCAGCCAAGUCGCGUGAGGGAAGACGGUCCUAUGGAUUGUAAACCUCUUUUGUCGGGGUAGCAAAGAGGCCACGUGUGGUCAAAAGCGUAGAGUACCCGAAGAAAAGCAU